ensembl:lncRNA
CAUAUGUGUCAUCAACGUAUACCUUUUCUUCAUACCAUUUAUUCUUUGUCAGUUUCUCUAUUAGUGGUCCAACAAGUCAAACAGCCAGUGUCUUUUGUUCCUCAUUCCUUUGUCCUUUUUUUCCCGCCCUUGUAACACCAGACCGACCUUAUUGUUCCUGUGUUGCUAAAGCAGAAAGCUGAUCUUUAAAAGAAAUGGAAGUCAUGAACGUAGCAGCAAUGUUAGAAGCAAAAAUUUUCUUUACAAUUAAAAUAUAUACAUCCUCACUAAUAAAGCUAAAGAUCUUGCUGCUCUAGUUCUGCUCGUGUUAGUGGAUUUCCGCUGGUUUACUUUAUUUAACAAGGGAUUUUCUUUGAAGCUGAAGCUUAAGGUGGAGGGAGGCCCUAAAACUCCAAUAAGUACAAUUUAGCAGUACUCCUUCACAAAAAAAAAUGAAAAGAUUUCAUACCUUGUUAAACACAAAAAAUAAGAAAGUUACAAAUGCAGGCGCACAAUAUUUGCGAUGGUUCAUCAGGAUCAGCUCCCAUGUAUCAAGCAAAUAAACCUGUUUGUCCCACACCACACCUAUCAAAAAUGUUUUGGCCUUCCUGAAUCCAGAAUAUUUUAAGUAUUUGUUGAAUAAAGCAGAAAACAUAGAGGACAUUAUCCAUCAAAAGAAUCUGCCUCAGUAAAAUGUUAAGACAGAAGAACUAAUUUUGUAUUUGGCUUAGAAUGUAUGUCUUCAGGUCUCAAAACUAUUGUUGUCUGAUGUGAUGAAGCUUUAAGGAACAGCCCGUCACUCCACUCCUCCUACAUUCCUUUUCUUUCUUUGCCAUGGAGAAGCAAACAGGUAUUUUUUGUUAUGUAGUCCAGCCCAAUGUCACCUUUCAAACAAACUCCAACAGACUUUCCUGUUCAGCAGCUCUGAAAUCACCAGAUACACUUGCGGAUGUACUUUGGAACGCCAUUAUCUGCACGGGUCGGACACCUCAGGGGUUCGACAGAAAAUGAGAUUCCAUAACCCAGCGUAGAGCAAAACAACACAAGACAGAGUAAGGCAAAUGAUUACUCAGCCCACAUGGCUGUAAAGCUAAGUAACAAACUUUAUUUUUUUUUUACAAAAAGACAACAUGGGACACCUUUAACUUGCUUUCAGACGUUCAAGUGAGAUUCACAUUGAGAUAAAGUUGAAUCGGGACUUUGAAGGGCGCUGGAGGAUUGGUCGACUGUGACACAAGGUGUGUUGCAGGACAAGGUUUAUAGGCUUGGCUAAAAUCCCACAAAAUGCUGUUAAGCAUUGUGACAAUCUCUCUAACAUACAGGGAAAUGUGAGAUUCAGUUUCUCCCCCUUUUUCAGUUGAGCCUGUAAAACAGGUCAAACAGAAAAAAAACGUCCUAUGUUUGACCAGUUUUUUUUUUUAUACAGACGUUAAGCACAAUUCACAAAUUUCCUUCUUGAUCAGUGGCCCAGAUCGGGGUCAAACAUUAAGGGUUAGGGGUUGAACUCCCAAAUGGGCCCAAAGUAUUUCAAAGCAUGGGUCAAAAAAUUUUUUUUAAAUCUUACAGUGGAGUAGACAUUACUUUUAAAGAGCAGAACAUUCUACCAUUUUCCUCAUGCUAUUUUUAAGGAAUACAUGAAUUAAUCUACAUUUCUAGCAUAUUGUAAUGCCGUUAGGGUUUCAAAGUGCUUUACUAUAAAAAUAGAUACAAUUUUUGUUAUUUAAGCAAAUUAAGAACAAAAAUGUAAAAAACAACAACAUAAAAUUCCAAAAGGCAGUAAAAUACAUAAAAGACUGGAAAAAAUCAAUUAUAACGAGUAAAAUAAAAUUUGAUGCCACAAACUAUUGAGUGUUUGAAGCCGUUUCAAUCUUGAUUUAAAAUGUAUUUAUAUAUUAUUUCUGUCGUGACAUGGGCACAUGAAGCAGGUACUGGUUGACCAUUGUACUAAUGAAAUAAUUUGACAUUUUUCAUUUUUAAGCGUAAAUGUAUGGCGAGAAACAUCUCCUGACAAAAAUAAAGUCUCCCACAAGCAUGUCCAAAAACAAUUUUGAAAUUAUGGACAUAUUGGGAAUGUUUGGACUUUCUUGUGAAACUUAAUUCCAAAAAAGAAAAAGGUACAGUACAGGCCAAAAGUUUGGACACAUCUUCUCAUUCAAAUGAGUGAGAAGGUCUGUCGAAACUUUUGGUCUGUACUGUAAGUCCUACAAAGGCAUAUCUUAUUUAUUUAUUAUUUUUUUGCAUGAAAUGGUGUUUGUUUGUUUUUUGCUUUGUUUUUCAUAAACUAUAACAUGAAUGAAAUUGUACUUGACAGAGGAAUGUGCAAAGAGGAAGUGUUUUCAAGCAUCUAACCAAAAACAAUAAAUUUAUUCAUAUCUCAAAGAAGAAGUUAGAAACAACUUCCUGCCUGAAUUUCUCUUGAAUUAUUUAAAAAUUAUAUAUACUUCAAUGUUUUUUGGCAUUCAAGCUGAUGUUAAACUAAAUGGAGCUCUGGAUUAUAUGGUAGGUUAUAACUUAACAUUUGCUCCUUAUCAAAAUAAACCUUUUUUAACUGGCAUCAUAAAAGUCUCUUCUAUUGUUGAAUGAAAUGUAAUUGCCCACAUUUAGAUACCAGUAGAACAUCAAAUGUACCGUAAAUGAAAUAGAGCAGCUCUGUAGAUGUACUGGUUUUUCUUUUGGUUGUAUGAUAAGAUCUCAAUUCAUGAAAAUUCAGAUGCAAAGGUUUCUGCAGAUAGUUUUCAGAAAAGCUUUAGGCCAUAGAAGAAGUAUUUAGUAUAUGCAAACUCUAACGUGCUUACUUCACUGAGAGAAAUGACUACUAUGUAGUGUGAAAAUGUGAGAAAUGUGAGAAAUGUUUUUAAAGCUAGUGAGAAGCAAACACAACAUUACUUACAUUACUCCACAGAGUAAAAACAAGCUUGUCAGGUUAGGUCCUCAGAAGACGUCACAAUGUUGGUAUGUUUAGUGUUCCUUUAUACUCUGCAUUUACACCAAACUUAAUUGAUGUUUCUCUAUGACUCAGUUUGAUGACUUGCUGUCCUGCAUAGACAGGAAAGGGAAAAUAGAAAAAUAGAGAAAAUAUAUGUAUAUGUGUGUGUGUAUAUAUAUAUAUAUAUAUAUAUAUAUAUAUAUAUAUAUAUAUAUAUAGAUAGAUAGAUAGAUAGAUAGAUAGAUAGAGAGAGAGAGAGAGAGAGAGAGAGAGAUUCUCUUGCAUGAUGGUUUUGUACUCCACCCGCUGAUCAUGUCAUCGACACAA